rnacentral:rRNA from 1 species
CAGUCGCCGCGGUAAUACGUAGGUGGCAAGCGUUGUCCGGAAUUAUUGGGCGUAAAGGGCUCGCAGGCAGUUUCUUAAGUCUGAUGUGAAAGCCCACGGCUCAACCGUGGAGGGUCAUUGGAAACUGUUAAACUUGAGUGCAGGAGAGAAAAGUGGAAUUCCUAGUGUAGCGGUGAAAUGCGUUGAGAUUAGGAGGAACACCAGUGGCGAAGGCGGCUUACUGGACGAUAACUGACGCUGAGGCUCGAAAGCGUGGGGAGCAAACAGGAUUAGAGACCCCCGUAGUCCCUGUCUCUUAUAA